UACGUAGGGUGCAAGCGUUGUCCGGAAUUAUUGGGCGUAAAGAGCUCGUAGGCGGUCUGUUGCGUCGGCUGUGAAAACCCGAGGCUCAACCUCGGGCCUGCAGCCGAUACGGGCAGACUAGAGUUCGGCAGGGGAGACUGGAAUUCCUGGUGUAGCGGUGAAAUGCGCAGAUAUCAGGAGGAACACCGGUGGCGAAGGCGGAUCUCUGGGCCUUACCUGACGCUGAGGAGCGAAAGCAUGGGGAGCAAACAGG
rnacentral:rRNA from 1 species